rnacentral:rRNA from 1 species
UACGUAGGCAGCAAGCGUUGUUCGGAGUUACUGGGCGUAAAGAGUAUGUAGGCGGUUGGGUAAGUUUGGUGUGAAAUCUCCUGGCUUAACUGGGAGGGUGCGCCGAAGACUGCCUGGCUUGAGUGCGGGAGGGGAGAGCGGAAUUCCUGGUGUAGCGGUGAAAUGCGUAGAUAUCAGGAGGAACACCUGCGGUGUAGACGGCUCUCUGGACCGAAACUGACGCUGAGAUACGAAAGCGUGGGUAGCAAACAGG